GCUUGCUGUCUGAAGGCGGACAGGAGCCAAAAAGAGCUGAGAAAUGGAUGGAAUGAAGGCAACGCCGGAGCCAAAGAGCUGCUAGGAGCGAGAAACAGACAGGAUGAAGGAAAUCCCACCCCACCUCAAGAAACAAACUAAAAAGAAAAGGCAUUGCUCGAGCUUGUUGGCCCAGGCCUCUCGCUGCCCGCGUUUGGGAGCUCCUCCUCACCCUCAGCACCUGGGAGCUCGGAUCAGGUUUGUACACUGGUUCAAAGUCGGCACUUGGACUGCGAUCUGAACCCAGCACUGAAAGGCACAUAUCUGAUACCCUGUACAAGAGCCAGCGUGGACGCUGCCGCCGAUGGGUCCAGGAUCAGACUGGGAAGAGGAAACCGGGGGAUAACACAGAUUGCCACCUGCUUUGCUGCUUAAAGAUACCGGCUGAGGGUUCCUGCCUCCCUCCCACGAAGGGGUUUUGGAGAUGCCCGCGUUCAAACUGCUACCAGCAUUGCGAAUCUGCAUCAACAGCUGCAUCAGUAAAAAUGAAAUGAGCACAACAGCACCCUGCACCUCCUCCAUCCCUCUGGGCUCAUUGCUGACCGUUUGGGAUAAGCAAGGGCCGAUUCCUCAGAAGCAAGAGCCUCACUGAAGAGGAAACGAGAGAUUCUGAUCCUUCACGUGGAAAUAAGACAUGGUGUGAGCAGGGGAGCCGUAAGCAGCCCGUUGGUUUUGGAGCUGCCCAUCAGUCUGUCACUGCUCCGUUAAGUGCAGCAAGAGACCGAUACCACAUCCGAUUGGAUUAAAUAAAGAGCACAAAAGGCCAAGCAGUUUCCAAAUGGCAUUUUAUCAGAUUCCGUUUGAACAUUGAAUUUAUCCUCACUUUUUUGUUUUGUUUGUUUGUUUUUUGUUUUUUUUUUUGUUUUUUU
ensembl:lncRNA